AAAGUCAAGAAGUUUUAUUGACUCAUUGGCAGACGUUCCAACUUAAGCAAGCAGAACAAAAUUACGCUCUAUAAGACCAUAAUAAAACCUGUCUGGACAUACGGAAUCCAACUACGGGGAACAGCAAGUAAUUCCAACAUUAAAAUACUUCAACGCUUCCAAUCGAAAACGCUAAGAUCCAUUAUAAAUGCCCCCUGGUAUGUCACCAACGAACUAAUACUUCGCGACCUUAAGAUAACCACAGUCAAAGAGGAAAUAAUGUAGUAAUAGAUAGUAAAUGUAGUAAUAGAUAUAUCAUAAGAGUUAGUAACCGUCGAAACCCCCUAGUUACUCAAUUACUUAAAACGUCGGAUCAGAUCCGCAGGCUAAGAAAACACUAUCCUUUAGAACUAAGCACUGGAUUCAGCUAGAAAUAAACUUAUUAUAAAUAAUUAGUCAUGUCAUUGCGCCACGUCAGAGAAACUUACUCAAAAUUCUCAAUGCGAGAAUCGAUUGUAAA